UACGGAGGGGACUAGCGUUGUUCGGAAUUACUGGGCGUAAAGCGCACGUAGGCGGAUUUGUAAGUCAGGGGUGAAAUCCCGGGGCUCAACCUCGGAACUGCCUUUGAUACUGCAAAUCUCGAGUCCGGAAGAGGUGAGUGGAAUUCCUAGUGUAGAGGUGAAAUUCGUAGAUAUCGGGAGGAACACCAGUGGCGAAGGCGGCUCUCUGGACAGGUACUGACGCUGAGACGCGAAAGCGUGGGUAGCAAACAGG
rnacentral:rRNA from 1 species